rnacentral:tRNA from 1 species
GGUGAUGUAGCUCAGUCGGUUAGAGCGAGGGAUUCAUAACCCCCUAGGUCGGCAGUUCGAUUCUGCCCAUCACCACCA